UACAGAGGUCUCAAGCGUUGUUCGGAUUCAUUGGGCGUAAAGGGUGCGUAGGUGGCGGGGUAAGUCAGGUGUGAAAUCUCGGGGCUCAACCCCGAAACUGCACUUGAUACUGCCUUGCUCGAGUACUGGAGAGGAGAUUGGAAUUUACGGUGUAGCAGUGAAAUGCGUAGAUAUCGUAAGGAACACCAGUGGCGAAGGCGAGUCCCUGGACGAUACCUGACACUGAGGCACGAAAGCUAGGGGAGCAAACAGG
rnacentral:rRNA from 1 species